rnacentral:rRNA from 1 species
GCGUAGGUGGUGGUUUAAGUCCGUUGUGAAAGCCCUGGGCUCGUCACUGGGAACUGCAGUGGAUACUGGGCGACUAGARUGUGGUAGAGGGUAGCGGAAUUCCUGGUGUAGCAGUGAAAUGCGUAGAGAUCAGGAGGAACAUCCAUGGCGAAGGCAGCUACCUGGACCAACACUGACACUGAGGCACGAAAGCGUGGGGAGCAAACAGGAUUAGAUACCCUGGUAGUCCACGCCCUAAACGAUGCGAACUGGAA